rnacentral:lncRNA from 1 species
GUUAGACAGGUAAACAGCUGAGCAACUAUCAUCCACAUGUACUUGGAUAUGCAAUACCCUAUACCAUGAUUUAGGGUUUUUCCCUAUUAACCAUAUAUGAAAUGAAUGCUAGACAGGUUAAACAAUAAACAGUUGAACAACUAUUAUACAUAUAGACUUGAACAUGUUGAGCCUUAUGAUCCUACGGUAGGUAAACCAUACUAGUCAAACCCAUGCCAGGAGAUCGUACAUUUCAGACCUUAGUGAAAAACUAUGCAUGACAUACCUGGUAGCUUUAUGACUAUGUGAGAUCUUGUCCGUCUGGGAGAAACAGCCAACAUAAGCUGAAUAUUCCAUCAGUGUUCCGAACUUGGAAUUUAUGAACUCAUUAUAAAGCUCAUGCAAGUCAAGGUAACGGCCAAAAGUUUCCUAUCAAAAUGCAGAACCAGAUCAUCACUUCAUCAGAAAACAUAAUUAAAACUGUUUGUAAAGCUCAUGCAAGUCAAGGUAACGGCCAAAAGUUUCCUAUCAAAAUGCAGAACCAGAUCAUCAGAAAACCUAAUUAAGACUAUUGUGAGAAUAGUAUAAUAGUAACAGAAAAAUGUAGUAAAUAUGCAACAUGGUAUAACAGGAAAAGGACUGUGCAGCGGUGAAAAUCAGAAAGAGGAAUAGAUCAUUGAAUGAUUGUCAAGUUAUUCAUCAUUCUACAUCGCAGUUUCAAUCAUUGCCCAAAUCUUACCAUCGACACCACCAAGAUCCCACAAGAGGAAUCAAACAAUCCUGCAGAAAUUGAAGUACACGUAUCACAAAGGAGAUACCCUCAGCUUCAAGACUACUGUAGUGAAAGGAAAAGGAAAGGCACUGAUGGACUCUAAGGGCUCCUUUGGUAACAAGGGAAUUGAGGGGGAUUGGAGGGGAU